rnacentral:tRNA from 1 species
UCCCUGGUGGUCCAGUGGUUAGGACUUCACCUUUAAAUGCAGGGGAUACAGGUUCAAUCCCUGGUCAAGGAG